rnacentral:rRNA from 1 species
CCGGCGCACGGGUGAGUAACACGUAUCCAACCUGCCGUCUACUCUUGGACAGCCUUCUGAAAGGAAGAUUAAUACAAGAUGGCAUCAUGAGUCCGCAUGUUCACAUGAUUAAAGGUAUUCCGGUGGACGAUGGGGAUGCGUUCCAUUAGAUAGUAGGCGGGGUAACGGCCCACCUAGUCUUCGAUGGAUAGGGGUUCUGAGAGGAAGGUCCCCCACAUUGGAACUGAGACACGGUCCAAACUCCUACGGAAGGCAGCAG